AAACCGUUAAGCCAGCUUUGACAGCACUGUUGCUCUACAGAUUUUUUUUUUUUUCGGAAAGCUCAACUUGGCCGAGCUGAGAGACUCCCCAGGGCCAGAGCCGCUGAGGGUGUGUGUAUAUGCGUGUGCGUGUGCGCGUGGGAGAGAGAGGAAGGGAGAGGGCGAGACGAAAACCCGACCAGCCCGGACAAUGCCACCUCUCGUUUAAAGCUUUCAAACUGCUAUUCUUCCCCCUCCCUGCCAGCCCCCCCGUUAUCGCAGUACCAAGUAAUCUGUCUUUCCUCCACCCCAACCCCCCUCCCUCCUCGUGGAAGAUAUGGGAGAGAAAGAUAAAGCGACUGCCGCCGGGCUCUGAGUGCGCGCAGCCCGCGCGCCGCGGUGCCACAGCGGGCUGCACUCCGCAGCCGCCCUCCGCAACGCAUCGCUUGCAGCGGGAUGGGACGCAACUCCUCGUAAUUGGAGCGCAGGACCUCUGGACUGCAAUAUGUGAUUUCACAUCCCUGUUUGCUUUUGUAUUGGAGCCAUGCUGUGGGCUCACCUACUUGUCGAGCAUCUGCCCAGCUGAGCUGGMCCUCUCUGCUCUUGCCUGCGAGCGACCCACCAAUUCUGCACUGCAGUCUGUCCAAGAAAGGGGCUCGGUAUCUGUGGCGAGGGGAAGCUUGGCAUUGUCCAGCUUCAGUUGUUUUAGAAGGAGUGAAGAAUAAUAAAAAAGAGAGAUGUCUUUCUCUCCGCUUGUCCAAAACUAAGAUCUGAAGUAUUAUCCCGUACCCAAACAGUUGCAAGUCUGCAGCUGGGCACAGCUAGGGGGAAAUCUGGGCCAUGCAUGGACGGGAGUGUCCCACGGAGGUGGAAGAAGUGACAGCCAUGCCAGGCCAUGCCAUGCUGUCCUUUGAGAGGGAGACCAAGACAUGAGAAGGGGUAAACUGAGGCUACCUGUGAAAAAAAGCAUCUGUGAACUGAAAAUCAUUUUUCUGCCUGAAUGUUCAGUCCCAUUCCCCACUGUCAUUUCAGUUUUCAUCUCGGCUGAGACCCUGUGCGUGUUUUGUGGCACUCAGUUGCUCCAGGUGCUUGGAUCUUUCAGCCUAUUGGGUGUCUAAUUCAAUAGUCUUUUGAGGAGAUAUGCUGUGAAAUCCUCUGCUACUGUUGAUAGUCUCAGGCAGUUGCUUUGUUCCACUCCUCUCCUGUAACCCACUCACCCAUUCACCCAGACUUCCUCUUCUCCACUAAUAUCAUGACCUACAUGCAAAAGACUUAUUUUCUGGUCCUGUUUCCAUAGUAAUGCAGC
ensembl:lncRNA